rnacentral:rRNA from 1 species
GACGAACGCUAGCGGCGUGCCUAAGCUAUGCAAGUCGAGCGGGGUUUCAGAGUCGAGUUUCCUUCGGGAGACAAAGCACUGAAACCUAGCGGCGAACGGGUGAGUAACACGUGAGCAACCUACCCUGUUGUCCGGGAUAACAGACCGAAAGGCCUGCUAAUACCGGAUACGAAGCUCCUUCGCAUGUUGGAGCUUGGAAAGGGGCAACCCGCAAUAGGAGGGGCUUACGGCCUAUCAGCUAGUUGGUGAGGUAACGGCCCACCAAGGCGACGACGGGUAGCCGACCUGAGAGGGUGACCGGCCACACUGGGACUGAGACACGGCCCAGACUCCUACGGGAGGCAGCAAGCGGGAAUCUUGCACAAUGGGCGCAAGCCUGAUGCAGCGACGCCGCGUGAGGGAUGAAGGCCUUCGGGUCGUAAACCUCUGUUGAUGGGGACGAAGAUCUGACGGUACCCAUCGAG